GCGGCGCGAGCGGCGUAUGAAAGCGAGGCGGGGCCGCCGGUGCCUACCCGCACGCAGCGUGNNNNNNNNNNNNNNNNNNNNNNNNNNNNNNNNNNNNNNNNNNNNNNNNNNNNNNNNNNNNNNNNNNNNNNNNNNNNNNNNNNNNNNNNNNNNNNNNNNNNCUGGAGCGCAGCGCGGGGGCCGUGCCCGACGAGACCUCGAGCUGCCUGUCCCUGUGCUCCAGCUCCUUCCUCACCUCCACCCCCCUGACGCCGCCCGCGCGCUUCACCUUCGCCCGCGCCCUGGCCCCGCGCAGCCUGCUCGCAGCCGGCCCGCAGCCUGGGGACCUGCGCGGCUCCGCCACCUUCUUCCUGGAUGCGGCUCGGCGCAGCCUGCUCGCGGACGGCCCGGGGCCCAGGGACCCGCGCGGCUCCACCACCGCUGUCCCAGGCGCAGCCCAGGGCAGCCUGCGGAGGGACGACUUGGAGCUGAGAGACUCCUGCGGCUCCACCACCUUCUUUCUGGAUGCAGCCCAAGGCAGCCUGCUCGGGGACAACCCAGAGCCCAGGGACCCAUGCAGCUCCACCACUGCUGUCCCAGGCAUGGCUCGAUGCAGCCUGCUUGCAGACUACCUGGGGCCCAGGGAGCCCUUUGGCUCCACUGCUGCUGACCCAGGCGCAGCCCAGGGCAGCUCGCUGAGAGACCCCCAUGGCUCCACCACCUUCUUCCUGGAUGUAGCUCAGCGCAGCGUGCUCAGGGAUGACCCAGAGCCCAGGGACCCACGCAGCUCCACCACCGCUGUCUUGGACACAACCCAGUGCAGCCUGCCUGGGGACGACCCAGAGCCCAGGGGCCCGCGUAGCUCCACCACUGCCGUCCUGGAUGCAGCCCAGGGCAGCGUGCUCGGGGACAACUCGGAGCUGAGGGACCCGCGUGGCUCCACCACCGCUGUCCUGGGUGACCCAGUGCAACCCGGCCCAGCCGACGGCACCCACAGCACAGCAGGGCCCGAGCACCUGCCUGCACCUCCUGCCUCCCCCAGGGGGAAGGAGCCUGCUGGCAGCAACGACAUUGCCAAGGGUGCAGCUCCAGCCAGGCUGAGAGUUGCGGCUUGCAGCAUCCCGACAGCGCUGCAGGCCCUGGCCCCCGCAUCCUGCAGCUCCCGCAGGGCCCCUGCGGGCAGAGGCUGUGCCUUGGCAGGGUACCUGAGCCGUGUGUCCCUGAGCAGCCUCCGGCUCUCGCUGCAGCAGCCGGUUGGCACUAGGGACGUGCCUCUGGGAUCGCAGACUGAGGCCCAGCCUCCUGCGCAGGUCCCGGCUGGCACCGCGGCGAAGCAGAGCAGUGCCAGGCUGCUCGGCGUUGGGAAGUGUUCCACGGGCCUGCGGCCCCCCUCCAGGCUCCCGGGGCUGGGCGGUAGCAGAGCUGGCCCUGGGGGCUUGCAGGCUCCCACGGGGAUGGAGCUACCUGGAUCCAGCAAAGGGGCCAGGGCUUUUGGGACUGGACUCCCACCUCGCCCAGGUAGCAAGCGGCAGCUCAUGAAGCCAGGCCCCGGCAACCCGGCGCUCGCUGCUGGAGCCCCCCCACCCCUGGGGGCCACAUCCAGCCCCCAAGACAAAGCUCCAGGAAUCAACACCACAUACUCUGCCAGCCAUGUGCAAGGGGCGCAAGGCCGUGGGGCCCAGCAGGAGCCUGCGCUUGCAGAUGGCAGCCCUGGGCCCGGGGCAGCAGAGGCCUCUUCCAGCACAGGUGAUGCUGCCCAGGGCCCCACGUGCAGGGGUCCUGUGGCUGUGCUCCGCAGCUCUCCCCAUGCGGCUCCUCGGGGCAUGGGCGCAGCUGCCCCCAUGCAGUCCCCAGGCAACCUGCUACACCGAGAGCUGGAGCAAGCACAGAAUGAACUGGAGCUGGCACGGAGCGAGCUGCAGAGGGUCCAGAGGGAGCUAGAAGGAGCCAGGACUGAGCUAGCGGAGAAGGAUGCCCAGUGCCAGGCCUAUCGUAGGGUCAUUGCCGACCUCCAAGCUCAGCUGGGAGCAGCAGGCUCUGUGGCUGAAGGGUGCAGGCUCGAGGCGUGAUGGAGUCGCGGUGGAACGACGGUGGCUGGAGGGCUCUGCCCAGUGCUUUCACCUGCCAGCAGCUGCUGCUGCCCCUUGCCCAUGGGACAGCCUCAGUGCAGGCCUUGCAUCCUGUGCAGGGCCUGGGAACUGCUUUUAUUGGUCAUAUUUAAUAAAGAUUAAUGUCUCUUCCUCCUGCCCCCUGGU
rnacentral:lncRNA from 1 species